rnacentral:rRNA from 4 species
GUUAAAUGGCCGCAGUAUUUUGACUGUGCGAAGGUAGCAUAAUAAUUAGUUUUUUAAUUGAAAGCUGGAAUGAAUGAUUGGACGAGAAAAAAUCUGUCUCAAUUUUAUUUAAUUAGAAUUUUAUUUUUAAGUAAAAAAGCUUAAAUAUUUUUAAAAGACGAGAAGACCCUAUAGAGUUUUAUAUAUUUAUUUUUUAUUUAUUUUUUAGUAUUGUAGAAUUUAUAUGAUUAAAUAGUAUUUAGUUGGGGUGACUAAAAAAUUAAUUAAACUUUUUUUUUAUUAUUACAUUAAUAUAUGAUUAAUUGAUCCAUUUUUUAUGAUUAUAAGAUUAAAUUACCUUAGGGAUAACAGCGUUAUUUUUUUUUAGAGUUCUUAUCGAAAAAAAAGUUUGCGACCUCGAUGUUGGAUUAAAAUUAAUACUUGGUGAAGAAGCUAAGUUAUUAGGUCUGUUCGACCUUUGAAAUUUUACA